AUUGAACGCUGGCGGAAUGCUUUACACAUGCAAGUCGAGCGGCAGCGCGGGGCAACCUGGCGGCGAGCGGCGAACGGGUGAGUAACACAUCGGAACGUACCUUGUAGUGGGGGAUAACUAUCCGAAAGGAUAGCUAAUACCGCAUACGACCUGAGGGAGAAAGCGGGGGAUCGCAAGACCUCGCGCUGGAAGAGCGGCCGAUGUCCGAUUAGCUAGUUGGUAGGGUAAAGGCCUACCAAGGCGACGAUCGGUAGCGGGUCUGAGAGGACGGCCCGCCACACUGGGACUGAGACACGGCCCAGACUCCUACGGGAGGCAGCAGUGGGGAAUUUUGGACAAUGGGGGCAACCCUGAUCCAGCCAUUCCGCGUGAGUGAAGAAGGCCUUCGGGUUGUAAAGCUCUUUCGGCAGGAACGAAACGGCUCUCUCUAACAUAGGGGGCUAAUGACGGUACCUGAAGAAGAAGCACCGGCUAACUACGUGCCAGCCGCCGCAGUAAUAC
rnacentral:rRNA from 1 species